ensembl:snoRNA
AACCCUAAUUCUAAGCACUCAGCAGUUUCGUCCUGCUGGUGUGUUCAAAGGACAGUGCGGUAGAAAUAAUUCACUGUCUGGCUCUGUUAGUUUUCUUGGAUUUGGUGUCUAUUAAAGCUGGUAUUUCUAUUGAUACAGUU